rnacentral:pre_miRNA from 1 species
UGNGUACUCCCUCCGUCCCAAAAUUCUUGUCUUAAAUUUGUCUAAAUACGGAUGUAUCUAGUUACAUUUUAGUGUUAGAUACAUCUGUAUCUAAACAAAUGUAAGACAAGAAUUUUGGGAUGGAGGGAAUACUAC